AUUAAAACAUCUUAUCUUCUAUAUAGGCAAUUUCACGGAAUAAUUUAUGACUUCUUAGUUUUGAUGUACAAGAAAUUGUUUCUGUAAAUAGAAUAGAACUUAGUGCGAUGUGUGGCUGUGGCUAUGCGAUAAGUAUAUUUACCCUACUCUGCAUAUCACUGACAUCAGGACUAUGGCAGGAAUCGAUAGGAAGCCGUGUACUAAGUGAAAUCAACAACAUUAAAGCCGGUCGUAUGCUUAGAGAGAGGAAUGAAACAUUGCAAGAAAUUAAACCGCACUGUGUUUGUUCAAAAAUAUACGACCCAGUAUGUGCUUCAAAUAACAAGUCGUACUAUAACAUAUGCCAUAUGGAGUGUGAGAACGAUCCAAAUACCGUAUUUGUCGUACAUCAAGGGAACUGCAUACCAUACUAGAAGAUAAAAAUUUGUACCAAAAAAUAAAUCAAUUGUUUUUCUCCUCGUAAUUUCUGCUUUCGUGGAUAUUUGCAUUUAAAGAACUUA